GGGGAUUUAGCUCAGUGAAAGAGUGCAUGUCUAGAAUGCAAAAGGCCCUGGGUUCAAUUCCCAGCACUACCCA
rnacentral:tRNA from 1 species